rnacentral:sRNA from 2 species
AUAUCUCUCCGUACGGGAAGGAUGAGAAGCUUCGAUUAAGGUUCGAUUCGAGCGCAGCGAGAAAGCGUUGCCGCAGGCAACGACCCGAAGGGC